CACACGACUCUCGGCAACGGAUAUCUCGGCUCUCGCAUCGAUGAAGAACGUAGCGAAAUGCGAUACCUGGUGUGAAUUGCAGAAUCCCGCGAACCAUUGAGUCUUUGAACGCAAGUUGCGCCCGAGGCCACUCGGCCGAGGGCACGCCUGCCUGGGCGUCAUGC
rnacentral:rRNA from 1 species